AGUGAACGCUGGCGGUAGGCCUAACACAUGCAAGUCGAACGGCAGCACAGUAAGAGCUUGCUCUUACGGGUGGCGAGUGGCGGACGGGUGAGGAAUACAUCGGAAUCUACUUUUUCGUGGGGGAUAACGUAGGGAAACUUACGCUAAUACCGCAUACGACCUACGGGUGAAAGCAGGGGAUCUUCGGACCUUGCGCGAUUGAAUGAGCCGAUGUCGGAUUAGCUAGUUGGCGGGGUAAGGGCCCACCAAGGCGACGAUCCGUAGCUGGUCUGAGAGGAUGAUCAGCCACACUGGAACUGAGACACGGUCCAGACUCCUACGGGAGGCAGCAGUGGGGAAUAUUGGACAAUGGGCGCAAGCCUGAUUCAGCCAUACCGCGUGGGUGAAGAAGGCCUUCGGGUUGUAAAGCCCUUUUGUUGGGAAAGAAAAGCAGCAGGUUAAUACCCCGCUGUUCUGACGGUACCCAAAGAAUAAGCACCGGCUAACUUCGUG
rnacentral:rRNA from 1 species